CGAGGGGAGGCCGGAUCCUGGGCUGUGUCCCGGCGCCCAGUGCUCCCGGCCCUGCGCUGUUGGAUUCGCGCUCCAGGCCGCGCAGCCUGCCUCU